UAGCAGCCUCAGUAAACAGCGGCUUCUCCAUCAUGCACUGGUGCCCGGGUGUUUAGUCUGGCAGAAAUUCAGAUCAGAAGGUCAUUGCUGGGAAGUGUGACAAUGCCAUGUGUCCUGGACCGAUGGACUGCUUUGGAAUGUAAGAGGAGGCUCUCUCUGAACCCCAAAGCAGAAAAAGAUUCAGGAUUCUGCUGCCUGGCUGAAUUUUUCCUCUAGGAGCUGUUCGAGGCCCUUGGGCUGAGCCCAAUGUGAAUCCAAUUUACCCUUAAGGGCUUUUCUGAUUAUGGACCUUAGGAAGCUGAAACUCUGGGCGUGGUGGUGGGAGAGACUUCAGAGGCUUAUCUGUGAAAAGACGUAGCUGAGACGGUGCAACCCAGAGGCAGGCCUGGAGGCCAGGCGGCGUCUGUUCGGGGCUGGUGGCUGCUUUCCCAGUGGGGGCUCAACAUGCAGUGAGUUCUCGAAGAUUCGGUGAAUAAAUGAGUGAAUGUCUCCUGUUACAGCCGCCACAUUCAGUGGGCCACGCGGUGCUGGGAGAGCAGAAUGCUUGAAACCAGUGUUUGUUUUGAGCGCGGAAAGUGAAGGCCGAAUCAAUUGUGCUUCAGCAAGUAAAAACUGACCCCGAUGGGGAAAAAAUGUAAACUGUGAAGCCUGAGUUUCAAAGUUCUUGUUUUCAAAAAGUUUAAUUGUAUUUCAACUAAAGCCAAACUGUCAAAACAUGGGAGAGUGAUCUGCCUGCUAUGAAAAUGCAUUAGCCUUCUUACGUAAAAGUCAAUAACUGAUAUCCGAGAGGAACCAGAGCUGCGGGGUGGGGAAAGAAGGAAGACGGCCUCUUAGAAUGCCCAAAUGACACUUCCCUAUCAACCUCGUGCAAGGCUUUAGAUCUAGGUCUGUGAAGCGGGACGUUGGAGAGGAGAACAAAGGCAGAGCUAAAACGCUCCGUGAACGGAGAGGGUUUACAGCAUCAGGCCUGGUUUACGAGGGCACUGUGAAUUGGAAUUUACAUAAGCGAGAACCUGGAAGAGAUCCUCAAAAAUCUCAACAACAGCUUUGCAAAUAACAGCAGGCCGCCUUCUUCCUCCUGAGAAACGCCAGGGCGUGUCUGGGCGCCCCCAGGGCCGGGCUAACGCCUGCGGGCCUCUCCCUGCUUCCAGCUCAGCUGGUUUCCAGGUUGUCUGGUUGUCUUUUUUUUUUUUUUUCGACGGAAUUU
rnacentral:lncRNA from 1 species